UAAUUGACUACUACGCUUUCUCCAAUUCCAAUUCGAUGAGUAGAUGGAGGGUGGGGGCGCUUGAUCUUGUGUAACGCCGGAAUCGAAUCCGAAAUUCUGUUUAUUGGUAUUGCGUAUUUUCAGUUUCGACAGCACGCAGCCAGCACGUGUGCAGAUUGUCUUGUAAUGUUUGGAAAACCAUUCUGAUCUGGUGUGAUGUGAUGUGAUACCCACCCAACCGGACCAAAGUCCGAAAGAACCACUUGGCGGACGAGGGGCUCGACCAGUUUUGUGACGUCUCCGGCCACUUGCAUCCGAGGAACAGAGUUAGCUGGAUUUGCUUUGGAUGUGGAUGGGGAUGGGGACUUGGAAUGGAAUGGAAUGGCAUGGGAUGGGAUCGUUUCGGGCCUAAACACUGAGACGCAUUUGCCGAACUGCUUUUAACUGCUUUUCGUCGGCUGAGCGGGAGAAAGAGUGUCAUGCCUGAUCAAAAUCGUACCAGAUCGAACUCGUUAUCGUUAUCCAAGUAAAACACCACAUAGCCAGCAAUUGAGGCGAGGCGACAAGUGUACAAAAACGAAAGAUAUAAUCGUUUCCAUUAUUAAUUGGCGCACUUUUUGCCUUUGUGACUCGGGCUCGAGUUACUUAAAAAGUAAUAAAGGCGCAUUUCACUUGGCUCAACUUGUCACCCAGCCAAUUGACAAUCGCCAUCGAGGGAUAUGCAAAGGAGUUGGAAAAUACCGGAUAUUUUCCGGCCUUUCGUGGAGCGUCUUCUGCAGAAUUGAAAUGAAUCUUCGCAUAUGAAUCAGAGCGUUGCAAUUCCCUGAAAUUAAUUGACAGCAAUUUAGGAAACGGUUUGGCAAACAUUUAUUCACGAUUUUCAAUUAAACGUUUCCAUCUUAAUCAUU